rnacentral:lncRNA from 1 species
UACAGUAAGGAAAUGCCUUAGCUGUAGACAUCAUUUAUGGAACCGUAUAAGUAGAGCUCACAUUCAAAGGAUUUGCAAGAGAAGAAUUGUAUGACACAUUUACACAUGGAAGUAGAGCAAGUACCUCUAGCUGUUUCUAUGACAGAUUUUCAGCUUGUGCUCCUGUCUCUAUGCUACCUGCCAGAGGACACUGGGGAAAGUGUCAGCAACUGUGAGAAGGACAGAUGGAAACACUGCCUAUGCAGUGGUGCAGGAGAUGAUAAGUCACAUGCCAGGCUCACCCCUGGACUGCCUUAGGAAGGGAAGCAAGAAAACAUGUAGCAAUGAAUGAAGAAAAGGCACUCUGGACGAGAUAGGAGGCUUGGCAUAUCGCUUAGUGAACCCACACAUGAAGUCGUGGGUUCAAUCCCCAUAACUGAAAGAAACAAUAAAUGCAGAAACCAAAAAAAGAUAGGGGACUGGAGUGACACUUUUGGAUUUUUGGUUUCAUUACAGAACACA